rnacentral:rRNA from 1 species
AGUGAACGCUGGCGGUAGGCCUAACACAUGCAAGUCGAACGGCGGCACAGUAAGAGCUUGCUAUUACGGGUGGCGAGUGGCGGACGGGUGAGGAAUACAUCGGAAUCUACUUUUUCGUGGGGGAUAACGUAGGGAAACUUACGCUAAUACCUCAUAAGACCUACGGGUGAAAUCAGGGGAUCUUCGGACCUUGCCCGAAUGAAUGAAUCGAUGUCGGAUUAGCUAGUUGGCGGGGUAAAGGCCGACCAAGGCGACGAUCCGUAGCUAGUCUGACUGGAUGACGAGCCAAACUGGAACUGAGACACGGUCCAGACUCCUCCGGGAGGAAGCGGUGGGGAAUAUUGGACAAUGGGCGAAAGCCUGAUGCAGCCCUACCGCGUGGGUGAAGAAGGCCUUCGGGUUGUAAACCCCUUUUGUUGGGAAAGACAAUCAGCAGGUUAAUAACCCGCUGUUCUGACGGUACCCAAAGAAUAAGCAACGGCUAACUUCGUG